rnacentral:lncRNA from 1 species
ACAGGAGGAAAAGUUUUGUUAAAUUUUAAACAACAAGAGCCAUCAGACCAUGUCAGUCCUAAUGAAGUAUUAAAGGUGUUAGGUAUCCAGGAAACAGUAGAGUAUCCAGAGGCCCAGGGAGCCUCUUGUCCAUUACCUCAAUCAAAUGAAGAAACUAAGCAGUCAUAGCAUGUAAGUCAUUAAUAUUAUAUCCAGAGGCCCAAUGAGCCUCUUGUUCAUUACCUCAAUCAAAUGAAGAAACUAAGCAGUCAUAACAUGUAAGUCAUUAAUAUCAUAUCAUUUAAUUUUUAAAGAUACAGUUUCAAGAGUAACUUACUUCUUCGUCCCAAGGGGGACAUAGGGCACUACAAAGUCCAGAGUCAUCAACAUCACAUCAUUUUCAGAUACUGUGGAUUCAUUUAUUUUAGUGGGUACCAAUUUUGUGGAUUGGGGAAAACUUGUUUAUUCGUGGAUAUUUAAAUCUGAGGUUUCGUCAAAGGUUGUUUACAUUCCUUUAUCAAAAUCUGUACUUUGUUAUACAUUAAGAUUCGUGGUUCCCCUGUUCCUACAAAAAUCCAGGAAGAAAUUGGUAUCCGACAAUAUUAAUGAAUCCACAGUACAGUUAAAGUAAUACCCAACAAAAAUUAAUUUGGCUCGUUUAAUUUUCUUAAAAUUUUGACAAAGUAUUUACUUUGACCCUUUUACAAAAAUAUAAAAAUUUCAAAAAAUUUGAACCAACCGUUUUAUCAGAAAAAUUACACUGGUUAUAUAGCAGUUUGACAAACAAUUAUUUUAAUCAUUGAGAAGCUUAACAUUCCCUUAACAACACAACGUAAUUUAAAAAAAUGUUUAGCUGAUUUACAGAGUUAUCUCCCUGUAGUGUUAGGUACCACCUUAAAGAGAAGGUGAUACAAAAGAUGUAAAUUGUACUAUUUUUAAUUAUUUCCAGCUCCAUUUUGAAAUUUAUGGUAUUUAAGUGUCAGUAUUUUUCAUGUCUGCACCUUUACCACGGGGGGCAUUAAAUGUUACCCUUGUUUGUCUGUUUGUCUGUACAUAUGUCCAGAAAUUAGUUUCUGUUCUCUAACUUAAGUUUACCUCAACAAAAUGUUAAGAAACUCAUAAAAUUUGCUUACUAUCACAGAUAAAGUUUGCACUGCCUUUACUGUUCAUGAAUAAUAAUAAAAAAAAACAUUGAUUGUUUAAGCAGUGAUUUUCCUUCACAAAAAAGUUUUUGUGGUCAAUUAAUACGAUCUCACUAUUUCCAGUAAUUCACAAUAAAAAAUGCACACAUCAAUUAAAUAUAAAUAUUUUUUUGAUAUAAUAUAUAUACACUCAUUACUGUAAAUUCAGAAGUCACUGCAUGCAUUUAUUAUUGGGAUUUCCACAUCACAUGCUCCACGUCAAUGUUAAAAUAAUUAGGGCAAUUACAGGGCUGCAUACAAAUAUAUGGUUCAGAUUUCAGAAUGAGGGCAAUAAUUAUUGACCCAGUUUCAAAAUAAAAACAAAGUUUCUGAAUCUUCACUUUAGCAAGUUUUUGAUGUGCUAUUUUUUUUUACAGAUUGUCAAGUUGUUGAGUAGAAGCUAAAAGAUAUGACACUUUUCCAUCAUUUGUUCGUUAGUCACAGAUCUGACAGAGUGUAGUGUCAUGACGUAGGAUUCCUGAAACCAUAGCAAUGGGAGGAGUCUAACUGAGUUAUCUACCUUGACCAAGGUUGAUUACUACCAGGUGUCGCCUCUGUGACAUAUGUUUGAAUGGUGGAAUUGUACUUACAAAAGGAUUUUAAAUGGAGCAUUAUUAUAUUUUAAACAAUUUCAAUAUUAUAUUUACAUAUUGUCUCAUAUGUGCUAAAUGUGUGCUAAGUUUAUACAUGUCACUUCUUAGUCAUCUUUAUCUUCAAGAUUCCAAUUAUUUAAACUUAAAAUGGUGAAAUUUUUGUUAUCCCUUAGACUUACCUUACAUUUACAUGUAUAUGUUUGGUUUUUUCUAAGUGAAAAUUUGGAUUUUUAGAAAAAAUAAUACUUUCUUUAAAUUUACCGUUUUUUUUUCAAUAUUGAAAUGCUUCAGUUUAUUUGUAAGUCUGUUAUUUGUAAUUACUAUUCAGAAAGGAAGUGUUACUUGGAAGAACUGAAAAUUCAUAACAGAGAAGUUCUGUUUGUUUCAAAAUGGGGGGAGGGGGUAAAAGAAGUGUACAUGAAUGUAAGACAUACCUCAUUUUCUUUAUUUUUUGUUAUUUUUAUAACUAUUAUUAAAUAUAUAUUAUGUAUUAGUACAAUGUAUAACAAUGCUUUGAGUUUGAU